rnacentral:tRNA from 1 species
UAGGCAAAAGCUUGUUGGUUUGAGCGCUUAGCUGUUAACUAAGAAUUUGUAGGAUCGAGGCCUACUUGCCUAG